GGGAGACAAACAAGGAAGCAGAGCAGCGUGGCAGGGGAGACGGGAUCCAAAGUGCCAGCAGCAGCCACCUGUGCACAGUGACUGGGGUCCUGCUGACUGUAUCACUGAUGACUGUAUUGGCCCGUGUAACUUGCUGCACCAGGCCAGCAGUGUUAUGCAGGUGAGGGAGCAAUGGGGGGCACCUCACCCAGAGAUGCUGGGACUGUUGCUGGGCAGGAAGUGGUUAAGUCGCUGGUUGCAAGGGCCUUCUGUUCUGGUACCGGUGUUGGUGGAUGCAUACGUUUCAGGUCACCUGCAUGAAGCAUCAUAUGCAAGAGGAGCAAUCAAUGACUAAUGGGAAGUGGUAAGGCCUAGGCCAGGGUGUAUAAUGUACAGGAUAAACUAGAUGUUCUGUUCUUUUGUUGCCAACAUGUUUUCAUAAGUAA